GGGGACGGGCCAAAGCCUCAAGUUGGGGAUCCGGAUACGGAGGAAUCCUGCAAGCCCCAGGAAAGAUGGGAGUGCCUGUUUGAAAGGGGUGGUGGUUGGGGAGAGAAGCAAUGAGCUGUUUUCUGUCUACAGUGACAGCGUGACAUCCAGGAGCUGUCAUACGCUGGGCUGCAUCGUAAGAGACCAUCCACGUGCUGGAGGAGGGUACUCGGGCUGAUGCGAUCUGAAGCCAGGGGCUGUCCCGAAAGCCCUGGGGAAGGACCUCCAGAUACCAAGGAGGAGCUACCACUCCGGGAAAGAGGAAGAGGCAGACUUUUCUGACCCCCACCCCACUUGGAUGAAAAACUGUAGCCCAUGGGAUCCUGGGGGCAGAGCUUCCCCGCCCGCCCGCUUGCAUCUCUUUCAAGCUUCCAAUCUUAAUAAAUCUGGUUUUUUUGCCU
ensembl:lncRNA